CCUACGGGGCGCUGCAGUGGGGAAUAUUGCACAAUGGGCGCAAGCCUGAUGCAGCCAUGCCGCGUGUGUGAAGAAGGCCUUCGGGUUGUAAAGCACUUUCAGCGGGGAGGAAGGCGUUAAGGUUAAUAACCUUGUCGAUUGACGUUACCCGCAGAAGGAGCACCGGCUAACUCCGUGCCAGCAGCCGCGGUAAUACGGAGGGUGCAAGCGUUAAUCGGAAUUACUGGGCGUAAAGCGCACGCAGGCGGUCUGACAAGUCGGAUGUGAAAUCCCCGGGCUCAACCUGGGAACUGCAUUCGAAACUGGCAGGCUAGAGUCUUGUAGAGGGGGGUAGGAUUCCAGGUGUAGCGGUGAAAUGCGUAGAGAUCUGGAGGAAUACCGGUGGCGAAGGCGGCCCCCUGGACAAAGACUGACGCUCAGGUGCGAAAGCGUGGGGAGCAAACAGGAUUAGAUACCCCAGUAGUC
rnacentral:rRNA from 1 species